UACGUAGGGACCAAGCGUUGUUCGGAUUUACUGGGCGUAAAGGGCGCGUAGGCGGCGUGUCAAGUCAAUUGUGAAAUCUCCGAGCUUAACUCGGAACGGUCAAUUGAUACUGAUGUGCUAGAGUGCAGAAGGGGCAAUCGGAAUUCUUGGUGUAGCGGUGAAAUGCGUAGAUAUCAAGAGGAACACCUGAGGUGAAGACGGGUUGCUGGGCUGACACUGACGCUGAGGAGCGAAAGCGUGGGGAGCGAACAGG
rnacentral:rRNA from 1 species